AUGAGUCUUCAGCGGGAUUUGAUUGUGAUCUCAUUCCUGGAUCUAGCUCUGCCCGUCGGUGAAUCAUUUGAGGGAAAGGGAGUGUUUUUCGCUGGAAUUGCUGGGAAACUGGUCAUUUAUGGCUUUUUACUCAUGAUUAUUAGCAUCAAUUUUGUUCUUGAGGCUGUGUGGAAGGGGACCCAGGCCUGCUAUAUCUGUGGGUUCGGGAGAGGUUUUUCCUCCUCGUUGCUAUCGCUAGUGCAGCAGCAUCUGCUCUCCUUUCUUUCUAAAUUUUGCCACAACCGAGGGGAGUGUGUCAUGGCGAGUCAGGGAGAGAAGGUGACUGAUGUUUUGGGGAAGAAACCAGCUAAUGGAGAGGGUUCGAGGGGGUGA
rnacentral:rRNA from 1 species